UACUAGGAAUUGAACCCGGGUCCUUUGGAAGAACAGUCAGUGCUCUUAAACAUUGAGCCAUCUCCCCAGUCCUCUCUUAGCUUCUCAAAUGCAGUGGGAUCUCCAUCUUGGGAUACACGAUCCUUCACAGUGAGGUGUGUCUUCUGCAUCAUGGAACAUUCGGAAGCCUGGCCUUGCUGGCCUCCACUCAAGAGAUGCCAGUGGCAUGCCUCCUCUCCAUGGGUGUGAGCAUCUCCUGAUGUGGCCAAGAACCUCAGGGAAGAAGAUUCCUUCACUUGCAAACCAUCAAAUCAUUAGCUGUUAAAAGACCUGAAUUCAAUGCCAUUGGCCAAUAUCUUGGAUUCAGCUAUACCGGGAAUGUUUACAGCCCCAGAAUGGGUACAGAAAAUGAAUUCAGGGACUACUGGUGCUCAUUUCCUGAGAGAUGAUCCCCUUUUUUCACCUAUAUUCCUGCUGAGGACCUCUGGGAUUCGACAUUGUCCAGAAGCCUCGGAGAGCUGCUCAUCCCCUGAGUGUUUCCUACCUAACAUCUAGCCUGGCCUAGAGUGGGACAGACACAUGCCAACUACAGAGCACUCUUGAGUGGGAGCCUCAGCGACUUUCAAUACAAAGCAUGUAAGGAAACAGGGGCGAUGGUCAGGGCUACACCUAAUAUAAGACACACAUCUGCCUCACCAGCUGCUUCUCAUGUCCAUGCUUUGCACAGGUCUCUAAGGGCAGGCCACCGAUGUCUCAGCUUUAGUGGUUUCCAUAGUGUGUCUCUCAGGAAGUUCACAUACAUUCUAGAGAUAUUUCCACUCCACAUCCACUCAAGGAAGACAGAAAAGUCUUCAGCAUCUCAAGGGUUAGAAUGAUAUUCAUGGAACAAAUAUUUUAGGCAAAUAUUUAAGCCCCUUCUUUCACUUAUAUGAUGAAUAACUAAAGUUCAUCUCUUUGUUUCUUAAAGCAUAGGGGCAGGAAGGUGACAGCUAGCCUUGGGUGAGUGUGGACAUACCUUCCCAAAGGCAGACACGCACUUGCUGUUGCUUCUCACGAGUGAGGUUUUACUGCUAAGCAUACCCUCUCUGGGCCCUGGUAUUGCCACCCAGGGAGGUUCCUACAAUGUGAUGCUGGCGAUGGAAAGACCUUGGAUUCGGCUGCCAUUUCCAUGUGACAAAGCCUGAGAUAGUCUGUCCUCCUAUGGGUCACAGGCUUGGGCGAAUGAGACAUUCUGUCUACGUGCCGAGAGCUCCUUGGAAGCAAAGCCUUGGUGGAGAUAAGGAAAGUUUCACAGCCCGCUGCUGGGCUUUGGAGGGGCCAGUGUAAGGUAAGCCUGGGUUGGGGGACAGUGAUGGGAGGACCGCCAAUGUGUGCUCGUUGGUGAGGGCUGGAGCAGAAAAGAUGAAGUAAGUUUGGGAAAGAUGGGGAGGGGAGAACACAGGGUCUGAUGUUUUCUUCCUAGCUAGCCUGUCCCAAAGAAAUGGACGGUCACGUUCUCUGAGCCUCUGUUCUCUGUAAAAUCACCCUUUUCCAGCCUGUGCUCGCAAUUACUAAAAAAACAAUAGCUCCUUUACUCAGCUCUCCAAAAACAAUCCUUCCAUUUCACUAUUUGCAAAAACAAUUUCUUCAUUGUAAAUAAGUCCCCAGACUCCACAUUGUUCCCUGAUCCAGGAAAACACAGGAACAUAUUUUAUAAGCGCUGCUUAUUUCCAAACAAGGGACAUUGUUUCAUCUUAGAAACGCUAUUUUUAAGGGUCCUCCUGCAGAGCAGCCUAGAUAGUGAGUGCUCUGGGGUGUGAAUAUGGGAGCAGCAGAUGAGCGAGUUGUGAAGGAAAUGCUGCAGGGGAGAAAGUGUACAGUCUAUUUGUCCAUCUGCUUAACCCAUCACCCAAGCGAGAGUCUUACAGUGUGAUGUCAACAUUUGGUUCUAAUUGAACAGGCCUGCUGGAGCCAGAGUGCCCUGUCUGAACAAAUGUAGAACCAGCCUAGAGAGGCAGGCAGAGGGCACGAUUCUUGCACUCUCAGAUCCCUGGAGACCAGGAUGGCCAGGGCAGAGAGACGGGAGACCAGGAGUUAGGGUCAAAGGGUGCUGGUUCUUGGAGCACCAACCUAGAUGGAGUAAAGUGCCCUUAGAGAAGGCCACACUUAGAGUAUUACCCUUCUCAACUGUCAGGGUGGACAGGGAUCUGGUUAUAUAAUCGAGGAUCUUUGCUAACGCACCACUACCCACUGGGGACCUCUAAGAAACAAUGCUGUAACCUUCUGAGUAUAAAGGAAUAUUUUCCAGCCCCCAACACCUGUCAGAACCCCAGCAUCCCAGCCUACCAUACAAUGGGACAAGCAUACCCCAGUCACAGACCAACUUCAGAUGAGGAGGGUGAAUGAUUGGUUUGCAGAGAUAAACCAUUAUUGCAGGUACACCAGAGACUUUGUGUGUUGGGGUGGGGAGCAAGCCAACAUCUGCUGUGGGCCUCAAUCACCCAUGGGCUCCAUCACAUAAAGCAUCUAUCUCCUGCUGGACAGGAAUAUAUAAACACUCCAGUCCCAUAGUUGGAAGAUGAGAUGUCUACAUGGGGAUGGGGGUUGCUGGGGAGGAAGCAACCUCAGCCACAGGGACCACACUCUUCAAGGAAACAUGCAGGGGCCACCUAGUCAAUGAUCCUUUUGUGAAGAUGUGUUCACCCCUCCACUUGGACCAGUGGUGCCCUCAGCACAUUCUGCUGCCCCAAACUCAGUGGUUACAAACAGUAUACAUGGACAAUCUAAGCAGCCAGUCAUCCAUUCUGCCAUCAGCCAGUUCUCCCAGCCUUUCUUCCCAGCCUCACUGGAGUAAGGGUCAGAGAGUGUUAGUCUUGGUACACUUCUGCUGUAACUCAGUAGAGUCUGUAGUGGUUGGGGAUGUUUGGAAAGAGUGCUCAAUGUCUAUGCUUACGAUUCCCAGCAGCACCUCCGGCUUCCACUUGGGGAUAUGUGCUGACCAGCAUUUAUUUAUUGAAGAAGCAGUACACUGUAUUAAAAGCUGUAUCUGGAGAUGUACAGUUCCCUUGUUUCCCAGCAGAUAUGUGCCUGUUAUUCUCUCCCAAGCACACUGAAUGAGUUGAGCUUCUGACCUGAGCCAGGCCAUGCAGUCCCCUCCCUUGUCUCAUUUCAAAGUGUCACUAGAAGCAGAGAUGGUGCUGGGCUGGUUCACAGAAGGAAUCAUCACAGUUUUACUGGGCGUUAUUGGCCCCAAAGGGCUGUGGCAUAUAGAGUUAGUGAACAGAGACCCACAAAGGAGUCCAGUCUUUCAUAUAAACCUUGUGACAUGGCCUGAGCCCCCAGUAAAGCUAAAUGUACUCUUGUCUAUUGGCUUAAAAGUAAACAUAAGUUAACAUUGGACUUCAGACACCUUGAAUGGGUUUUUCUUCCACUCAUAACAUCAAAGAACCAUAGCCAAAGCCUUGCCAUCAUUAGCUUCUGAAGUGCCAAUCGUUUCUUAAAAUCAAUGCUGAGGGGUGAGCAGGGCUACCUCUGCAUCCUGGGUAGGGUGGACUUUGCAGACAGUCUUCUAGCUUUGGAAGACCUUUGCUGUCAACCACUACUCCCACCAGAAACCUGGGCUCCACCACUGAUCCCACAUGUCCCUGGUCUCCCCGCUAUACUCAUCAGUUAUGUCUGAUUCCAUCUACCUCAUCACAGCUCUCAGAGUCAAACCCGGAAUUUUUCUCAUUGUCGACUCCCUAAGCCACACUCCCUUUAUCUUUUGUGAGGGCUCCAACAUGGUCUUCCAGACUCCCGUUCCAUGCUCGCCUCUUCCCAUCCAAAGCAGGCUAUUCGGUCCCCACUGCGCUAGCUGCGUCACUUAAAACACUGGGGAGUUGUCUCCCAAGUCAUACUCUGGCCCUAGACAUCACCUGCAGGCUUCUGAAACUGCACCCAGCUUUCUUCUGCUUUAAGCUCUUAUUAGGUCUUUGUUGAAUUUACAAAUUACUGCAAACCUAAUAGCUUAAAAGAGUGCAGAUGUUAUCUAAGCAUACAGGUCCAAAACCCAUAUGAGCCUCAUUAGGUCAAAUCCAGGUGCCAGCAGGUCUAAGAUCCUUUCUGAACUCUAUAGGAGAAAUCUGUCUCCUCAUCUUUCAGUGUCCCAGAACUUCACUCUACAGCGAGGGGUGUGUACCUCUCCUCCAGCCUCAGAUAUCACAGAUCUGACCCUUCAUCUAUCAUUACAUCUUUCUCUGAUAGUGGCUGGGGAAGGUUCUCUGCUUCUGAAGGUUCCUGUGCUCAUCUCAACCUUAUCCCAAUAGCAGAGGGCAAGGUCUCACAGCCAUAAUCUGCAAAGUCCCUUUUUGUAUAUAAGUAAAGGUGUUCCCAGAUUCUAAGGACAUCAUUCUACAGGACACAGAUCCAUUAUGCCUAUUGCUGUCCAUAGAAUCUUCUUCCACCAACCAAACUCACUGAAGUCUACUGUGGAAAUACCAGAGAGACCUCCUUAAAAGUCUUCUUAAAUUAGACUUCCUGAUCAUACCAUAGUCUUUUCUCCUUUAUUUAUAGCAUUUCUGAUAGCAUUUCCCUAGAUCAGUGCACCCAAUAAGUAGUUCAGUAUUUCUUCCAUUAACCUGUAAACUCUAGAACAGAAACUCCAUCAACUUGGCUGAAUGGUCCUAAAACGCUUGGUCACAUGGCACAUGCUCUACAAAGACAAUGGAUGAAUGAAUGAAUAAAUGUGUUAAAUUGGCCAUGAACUUUAAGCUUACAAUUGUCUCAUUUUUCAGGACCAAUCUUGAUAGUCCAUGAUGGAUUUAAGGAGCUCUAGCAGACCUGGAUAUUGUAUAGCUAUUUCUUCUGAAAUGAAGCUUCCCUUAAGACUCAGAAAGUAAACAAAUUCACAAUUCCCAGGAAACUCCUGAAACUUACAAGAUUCACAAGACCCCCUCCUACAAGCAGCAAUAAUUACUGAGGAGAGUCUCUGGCCAACCUAGCUGCUUGCAAGUCAUGGAGGGAGCUCCAGGAAUACAGAUUUCAUGGGUCACCUUCGGUGGAGUGGACUUUUUGAUGAUGCAGCUGUCUUUAAGUCAUCCAUACUCUUCUAAGUAACUCCUCACCCUAUAACUCUAAUAAAGUCCCCGGCUAACUGAUGUAGGUAUAAUUUCUUUUUAGCCCGCUGUUAUCACUCUAUUUAGGGUGAAUAGAUGUUUGCUCAUGUCUUUCCAAGUUGUACAACAAUGCAAAUCUGGAAUUUGAUAUCCACCCACUCUUCUUUGGGCCCCAGUCACACUCCUAGUCCCUCUCUUAAAUUCUGAGCCCAAGCGCCUCCUGUAUUCACCUGCCCCCAAGCUGUUCCUGUCUACAGAGCCCCUGGGUGAGGAAGACCCAUCUACAGUACUUCUCAGAACUGAUGAGAACACCCAUGCUUCAUCAUCUCCUUCACAAGCAGGUAGCCCAGGAGGACUUGAGUUACCAUGAGAUAUAUAAAACUAUCAUCCCUGGGACACUCAAUGCCUGCUGUCAAAUGAACGAUGCUCCAACAUUCUUGUCCUCCGAUGACUGACUACAGACCCUCUGCUGGCUUAGAUGGGAGAGACAGUGUAGUCCCAUGGCACAGGUUUAGAGAGGAAGCAAGGAACAUUAUGACUUUACUUCUCCUUUGAAUACAAUUCAUGUCCCACAUCUCGCAAGGCCAAUCCCUAUAUGAGCACACAUCUCCCCGGUGGGCAUACACCUACCCAACCUCACAGAAGGCUGGCGAGAAGGCAUAAAGGUGGCUUAAGCAGACCGUCCGGAACAAAGAAAAACUUUUUAGGCCAUCAGGAAGGAGCUUACAGGCUCCUGGGUCUCUCUACCCUGCAGUCUCUCCCUCAAAUGCUGUAAUGGUUAGUGCUGACUGUCAACUUGACUGGAUCUAGACUCACCUAGGAGACAAGCCUCUGGGUGUGACUUUGAGGGAGUUUCUGAAUUGGGCUAACGGGUUGGGAAGACACGCCCUAAAUGUAGCUGGCACCAUUCUAUGGACCAGGGCUUCCGAAUGAAUAAAAUCAGAAAAGUGAGCUGGCACCAUCGUUCACUCUUUAUGUGUCCUGACUGCAGAUGCAAUGUGUGGCCAGCCGCCUCAAGUUCCUGCCACUGUGCCUUCAGCACCACAGUGGGAAGUGCCUGCAAAGUGUGAGCCCAAAUGAGCCCUCCCUUCCUGAAGCUGUUCUUCGGGUCAAGGAAAGUAAUAUGGAAGGCAAAGCACCGAGCUGGGAAAAAUUGAAAAACUGAAGUAAAAGGAGCUUCCCAUUGGAAGAGCACCGCCCUGGAACUGAUUGGUGCCAGCAAGGCUAUAAAGUUCUGGUCCUCUGUCAGCUGAGCUGGGGCAAUCCUGGGACAGCCAAGGGGUCAGCAAGCAGGUGACAUCGGCACAUGGGUGGAGAGCCAUUUGCAAGGCUGGGCACCUUCCGCACCUCCCCUGAAAGCUAAGUGUUAGUGCUCCAAUGCAGGCCUUGCUCACAGCUGACACAAAUCUUCAUUAACGCAACAGGAGGAUCUGCCAAAGAAAGGAUCUUAACUGUUUGCUGAAAGCCAGAAGGAAAACAAAGAACACUUAAAAAAAAAAAAAAAAAAAAAAAAAAAAAAAAAGCAACCUAAAAUGCCCAGCCUGUCUCUCCGGGGUGACACCAGCGAUUUUCCCAUGAAAAUACAGAGAGAAGAGUAAUUAAGGAGAGAAAGCAAGGGUCAGGGAGGCCCAUCUGUUUAAACGGAGCAAUUUCAAUGACUCUUUUAAGUAGAAAAGAACGAUUAUUGUAUUAUCCCGAGGUGAUCCAAAAUCUCAAAAAUUGAGGGAAUAUUAAAGAGAAUUGAUGUUUUGGGCAUUCUGAAUGUUAUGGGAAAGUCUGAGAGUAAGCAAGAAAGCUUACAGGUCUGUUCUGAUGUGAGGAGAGCCCAGAGGCUCUUCCAUCACAAUGCGGGGAAGUAAAGAGUGGAUUAAGGCCGCAAUUUUCAGUAGCUUAAAAAAAAAA